AAGACUAUAGACCUGCGGAGUACCUGCGGAAGGAUCAUUAACGAGUUGAGGGUUUCGACCCAAACCUCCCAUCCUUAUGUUGACUUGUACCAUGUUGCUUUGGCGGGACCGUCAUUAAUUUGACCGCCGGGGAGAUUCAAUUUCCCGGGCCAGUUUGCCCGCCAAUAGCCCUAAACUUCAAAACUCUUUGUUAAAAACUUUGAAAUUCUUGGUUAAAGAUUUGAAUAAAUCAAAACUUUU
rnacentral:misc_RNA from 1 species